UACGUAGGGUCCGAGCGUUGUCCGGAAUUAUUGGGCGUAAAGAGCUCGUAGGCGGUUUGUCGCGUCUGCUGUGAAAUCCCGAGGCUCAACCUCGGGCCUGCAGUGGGUACGGGCAGACUGGAGUGCGGUAGGGGAGAAUGGAAUUCCUGGUGUAGCGGUGAAAUGCGCAGAUAUCAGGAGGAACACCGAUGGCGAAGGCAGGUCUCUGGGCAUUAACUGACGCUGAGGAGCGAAAGCAUGGGGAGCGAACAGG
rnacentral:rRNA from 1 species